rnacentral:lncRNA from 1 species
CCCCUUUCCAUGGAGCCCAGGCCCCAACGGCGGCAGCUGCCCCUGCCUGACAUCCGGACCCAGCCUCACCUCUCCUUUCACAGCGAGCCCUGCUGGCACUGGGGGCCUGCAUUCCAGUUUUCCUCCCCAGCUGUGGGAUGCUGUUGGCGCCUUGGUGCCAGCCGCUGAGGUGAGCAGGUGGGUGAGGGGCUCCGUGAAGCUCUGGCAUCUGGUGUCCGGCCCAGGACUUGGGGGUGCUGGCCUCGCCGCCUGGCCGGGUCAUACAUAAGGGGUCGGUCAGCUCUGCCCCAGGCCAGGAUGCUGCUGGGCCCACAGCCGCCCCAGGACCCCCUCAGCCCAGGUGCCCUCCCUCAGUGCUCAGUUCCGGGGAUGACUGUGUCCCCCACCCCGUCACGCUGCUCAGCGAGCACCCUGUAAUCCCAUAUGGUAACUCAUGAAUCUACCCACUAAGAAACCACAACAUGUGAUUCCUCGAGGGAGGCUGGGGGGUAGUCGCGGAGUCGUGGCUGGGCCCAGCCGCGGACUCAGGUCUGUGAUGGGCUAACCUGUGCCCCCACAUCCGCAGGUGGGCGGCCUGACCCUAGACUCAGAGCGUGACUUCUUUGGAGACAGGGUCAUUGAAGGUGUGUGUGACGAUGAGGCCACGGGGUCACCCCUGACCAGUGUGACCAGUGUCCUUAUAAAAGGGGCGUGGACCCAGGCGGGCCUAGAGGGAUGGUGGCACAGAGGCAGGAGAAAAUGCCCACCAAAGCCCAGGAGGAGGCCUGGGACAGGCCCUUCCCGGCGCCUUCAGAGGGAGCCUGGCCCUGCCAGAUGCCUGGUCUCACGUCGGCCUCCAGGACUGCGAGACCUUCCUGCUGUGUGGGUGCCCAGUGCCAGCACUUGCUAAGGGUCCCCAGCCCCAGGAAAGCAGUGCCGUCCCCUGAGCCAAGUGGACCUCUCUCUGCUUCUGUGGCUUCUCUAUAUUUAGUUAUCAUGUUUCAAAGGCUUAUCAAAUCCCUGGGCAUAAAACGUUUUACGAAUCUGUCUAAAUAACGUUCCAAGGUGUCUCAUACUCGACGGAAUCUUGGACGGUGCUGCCCCUUGCAGGUGGCUGGGACUGCCUGGGUACAGCCUCUCCUUGGUUUUCAGCUUGGCUCUGCCUUCACCCCACAUGGGGUUCCGUCUGGCCCUAGCGGGGAGGGUGCUUGGCUCGGGCAGUGGGCUGGGCGGCCCCUGGCCCAGGACGGCUCUGGAGAAUAAGGAGGCCACCACAGGCCGGUAGGCCUGAGACCUCUGCCCCUUCUGAGGCCGCGGGGUUGAGCAGCUGAGCAGCUGACUCUCCCAUGGUCAGUGAGGGCUCAGCAUUUUCUCUUCUGGUUGAAAUAGAAACUGGGAAGUUGGAGGCCAAGAUUGAGGGGCAGGCGGAGGUGGUUCUCCUGCCAAGCUUCCUAAACGGCAGAAGCAGCAGAAGCAGCUAGGGUUAGUGUUGGCUUCUCUCUCUCUCUCUCUCUCUCUCUCUCUCUCUCUCUCUGUGUCUCUCUGUCUCUCUCUGUCUCUCUCUCUCUGUGUCUCUCUCUCUCUGUCUCUGUCUCUCUGUCUCUCGGUCUCUCUGUCUCUGUCUCUCUGUCUCUGUCUCUCUCUCUCUGUCUCUCUCUCUCUCUCUCUCAUUUAUUUCUAGAGCAUUUACAAAUUAAUUUUCCUGGUCUAAACCGGGAGGGGCUGCCAUGAUAAAAUGAAGCUGUUUGGUGUUCCAUGUCGAUCUCCCUGAGACAAUGCACUCCUGAGCCUGCUGGGCCCUGCCUCACAGCUGAGUCCUGGUCAGGGCCCUGCCCCUUCUUCCUCUCCCUUGGCCCUGGUUCCACAGAGACCUAUUUCUCCAGGGCAUCCAGGAAGCACCUACGGUGAUGGGGGAUUGCAUUUCAGCAGCAAUCCAUGUGUGAACAUUAAAACGAUCUCCUUAAAUAUUCAUGGUGACCAUGACCUCAUCUGGCUGCCUCGGGCCAGGGCUGGGUGCAGGUCAGGGAAGGGGGCUCAGGCCCUGAGACCCCAGCCUGGUCCCCAGCAAUACAGCUCCCCUCUGUCCUCUCCUCUCUGAGUCAACCCCUCCUGAGAGCUCCGAUGUCUCCUCUCUGGGGUGGCAGAGGUGGGGGCUGCUUUCCAAGCAAAGAAAUGCUCUGGGGCCACGUGGGAAUAAAUAUUUCAUGGGAGAGCAGACCUAGCCAGUAAAAAAUUAAGCAGCUUUACAUCAUCAGAGAGAGAAAGAAAGGGUUGCCUCAUGUUAUGAGUCUGCUGGUGUCCUUAGGACAGAGACAGGGAGACUGAGGUUUUGGGGUAAAUUAUUUAGGGUGUUGUAGGCUGGUCUAGGAAUGUUAAGCUGAAAUGAGACCGGCCCUGGAAGACGACAGGGGGAGCUGGGGUAAGAAGUGCUGCCUUAUGGAAGGCGUGGCGUGCAGAGACGCUGGCCACGAGGAACCCUUUCCCCGUGCACCUGCGCAGUAGCGCCUGCCUCGCGGGAGGCCCCACAGAUGUUGUUGAAUAAAGGGGCAGUGAGUCAGUGAGGCCAUUUCAGCCAUUUUUCUGUUGCCGCCUCACUCUGGAUUUAUGAAAGUACUUGCUAAUCGACGAUCGUCUUCGCCCGGCAUGCUGCAAAUUCACGUUUAUAUGCCCCCUGCCUCCCCCAAAUCAGCUACGGCAGAGUCAGGGGCAGGGACGGGUGGGCAUGGCCGGGCAGCUGCUCGGCUGCGUCACGCCGGGGGUGGCUGGAGCUGAUUCGGAAGCAGUGAAAUGUGGGCCCGCGUGGCUUCCCUGGAAAGAAAACAGGUCCUUGCCUAGAAAUUCAGUGGGUGACCUAAGAUGAUUGAGGGCUGUGUCCAUGUAAAUUUUUCAGUAAGGUGAGGGGCCAGUUUGUCAGUAAACUCCCUGGUGCUGUAAUUAGGGGGCUAUGUUCAGGAACUGGCUUCCUAAUGUGCAUUGAGGGCAGUGCUGACGCAGCCCAUGUACAUGCUAAAUACACGUGGGAGUGUUUGUGAAGAGACAGGCCUGCACAACACAGGGGACCUGACACUGAGCAUCCAUGUGGCCCUUUCUGGUACCCAGAACUGUGCACCCCCCUGUGCAGCAUCUCACAGGACUAAACAGACAGUAACACAACCCCGAACAGACAGUAAAAACCCGGAACAGAGAGGAACAACCCUGAACAGACAGUAACAACCCGGAACAGAGAGGAAGAACCCCAAACAGGCAGUAACAACCCCCAACAGGCAGUAACAACCCCGAACAGAGAGUAACAACCCUGAACAGAGAGGAACAACCCCGAACUGAGAGGAACAACCCUGAACAGACACUAACAACCCAGAACCAGGCAGUUACAAGCCUGAACAGACAGUAACAACCGGGAACAGACAGUAACAACCCUGAACAGACAGUAAAAACCCGGAACAGAGAGGAAGAACCCCAAACAGGCAGUAACAACCCCCAACAGGCAGUAACAACCCCGAACAGAGAGGAACAAUCCCAAACAGGCAGUAACAACCCCGAACAGAGAGGAACAACCCCGAACUGAGAGGAACAACCCCAAACAGGCAGGAACAACCCUGAACAGACACUAACAACCCAGAACCAGGCAGUUACAAGCCUGAACAGACAGUAACAACCGGGAACAGACAGUAACAACCCUGAACAGACAGUAAAAACCCGGAACAGAGAGGAAGAACCCCAAACAGGCAGUAACAACCCCCAACAGGCAGUAACAACCCCAAACAGAGAGGAACAAUCCCAAACAGGCAGUAACAACCCCGAACAGAGAGGAAGAAUCCCAAACAGGCAGUAACAACCCUGAACAGACAGUAAAAACCCCGGAACAGGGAGGAACAACCCCAAACAGGCAGGAACAACCCCAAACAGGCAGUAACAACCCUGAACAGAGAGUAACAACCCCGAACAGACAGUAACAACCCCGAACAGGCAGUAACAACCCCAAACAGAGAGGAACAACCCUGAACAGACAGUAACAACCCUGAACAGACAGUAAAACCCCAGAACAGAGAGGAACGAACCCAAACAGGCAGGAACAACCCUGAACAGGCAGUAACAACCCUGAACAGAGAGUAACAACCCUGAACAGACAGUAACAACCCAGAACAGGGAGGAACAACCCGGAACAGAGAGGAACAACCCCAAACAGGCAGGAACAACCCCAAACAGGCAGUAACAACCCCGAACAGAGAGUAACAACCCCGAACAGACAGUAACAACCACGAACAGGCAGUAACAACCCCGAACAGAGAGGAACAACCCUGAACAGGCAGUAACAACCCUGAACAGACAGUAAAACCCCAGAACAGAGAGGAACAACCCCAAACAGGCAGGAACAACCCUGAACAGGCAGUAACAACCCUGAACAGAGAGUAACAACCCUGAACAGACAGUAACAACCCAGAACAGGGAGGAACAACCCCAAACAGGCAGGAACAACCCCAAACAGGCAGUAACAAACCCGAAAAGAGAGUAACAACCCCGAACAGACAGUAACAACCACGAACAGGCAGUAACAACCCCGAACAGAGGGGAACAACCCCGAACAGAGAGUAAUAACCCCAAACAGGCCGUAACAACCCCGAACAGGCAGUAACAACCCCGAAGAGAGAGGAACAACCCCGAAAAGAUAGGAACAACAUCGAACAGAGAGGAACAACCCCAAACAGGCUAUAACAACCCCGAAGAGAGAGGAACAACCCCGAAAAGAGAGGAACAACCCCGAAAAGAGAAGAACAACACUGAACAGAGAGGAACAACCCCGAACAGGCAGGAACAACCCCGAACAGGCAGGAACAACCCCAAACAGAGUAACAACCCCGAACAGAGAGGAACAACCCCGAACAGAGGGGAACAACCCCGAACAGAGGGGAACAACCCCGAACAGAGAGUAACAACCCCGAACAGAGAGGAACAACCCCAAACAGGCAGUAACAACCCCGAACAGGCAGUAACAACCCCGAACAGAGAGGAACAACCCCAAACAGGCCGUAACAACCCCAAACAGAGGGGAACAACCCCGAACAGGCAGGAAAAACCCCAAACAGGCAGUAACAACCCCGAACAGAGAGUAACAACCCCAAAGAGAGAGGAACAACCCCGAAGAGAGAGUAACAACACAGAACAGAGAGGAACAACCCCGAACAGGCAGGAACAACCCCGAACAGGCAGGAACAACCCCAAACAGAGAGUAACAACCCCGAACAGAGAGGAACAACCCCGAACAGGCAGUAACAACACCGAACAGAGAGGAACAACCCCAAACAGAGAGGAACAACCCCAAACAGAGAGGAACAACCCCGAACAGAGAGGAACAACACCGAACAGAGAGGAACAACACCGAACAGAGAGGCACAACCCCGAACAGAGAGGAACAACCCCGAACAGAGAGGAACAACCCCGAACAGAGAGGAACAACACCGAACAGAGAGGAACAACACCGAACAGAGAGGCACAACCCCGAACAGAGAGGAACAACCCCGAGCAGGAAGUAACAACCCCGAAGAGAGAGGAACAACCCCGAACAGAGAGGAACAACCCCAAACAGAGAGGAACAACCCCGAACAGACAGUAACAACCCGGAACAGAGAGUAACAACCCAAAACAGGCAGUAACAAUCCCGAACAGGCAGUAACAACCCCGAACAGACAGUAACAGCCCUGAACAGAGUGUAACAACCCCGAACAGAGAGGAACAACACCGAACAGGCAGUAACAACCCCGAACAGAGAGUAACAACCCCGAACAGAGAGGAACAACCCCAAAUAGUCAGUAACAAUCCCGAACAGGCAGUAACAACUCCGAACAGAGAGUAACAACCCCGAACAGAAAGUAACAACCCCGAACAGAGAGUAACAACCCCGAACAGGCAGUAACAAUCCGGAACAGAGAGUAACAACCUGGAACAGGCAGUAACAACUCGGAACAGGCAGUAACAGCCCUGAACAGGCAGUAACAACCCGGAACAGAGAGUAACAACCCUGAGCAGGCAGUAACAACCCGGAACAGGCAGUAACAACCCCAGCUAAACCAAUAGAACCGGCCUGGCAGCCACUCCUGUUCCAGUGCAGCACUCCACCAUGCAGAGGGGUCGGAGAAGCAGUUGUAGGUCACAGCAAGGAGUGGGCCGUGGGGAUCAUGGCCAGGUCGUGAAAUCCAAGUGGCACCCGCCAUGGCACCAGCCAGAACAGGUCCCCUCCUUUCCAAAGGGCAGAGCUGGGGCUGGCCCUGGAGAUGCUGGGGUCAGCAAGGGCUGGGGCUGCGCUCCCUCCUGGGUCUGUGUCAAAAGCAGCCAGCACCGAAGCCUGUCCACAUCGGCCAGGCCCUGUGCAAGCCGCGCUUCCCAGCAGACGGCACGGAAUUGCUGGUGAGAGUGGACGCUGGGCCGGAACAGAGCGGCGCUUCCUG